rnacentral:rRNA from 1 species
CGGAAAGGGCGAGACUAUACAUGCAGUCGAGCGGACAGAUGGGAGCUUGCUCCCUGAUGUUAGCGGCGGACGGGCUGAGUAACACGUGGGUAACCUGCCUGUAAGACUGGGAUAACUCCGGGAAACCGGGGCUAAUACCGGAUGGUUGUUUGAACCGCAUGGUUCAAACAUAAAAGGUGGCUUCGGCUACCACUUACAGAUGGACCCGCGGCGCAUUAGCUAGUUGGUGAGGUAACGGCUCACCAAGGCAACGAUGCGUAGCCGACCUGAGAGGGUGAUCGGCCACACUGGGACUGAGACACGGCCCAGACUCCUACGGGAGGCAGCAGUAGGGAAUCUUCCGCAAUGGACGAAAGUCUGACGGAGCAACGCCGCGUGAGUGAUGAAGGUUUUCGGAUCGUAAAGCUCUGUUGUUAGGGAAGAACAAGUACCGUUCGAAUAGGGCGGUACCUUGACGGUACCUAACCAGAAAGCCGCGGCUAACUACGUGCCAGCAGCCGCGGUAAUACGUAGGUGGCAAGCGUUGUCCGGAAUUAUUGGGCGUAAAGGGCUCGCAGGCGGUUUCUUAAGUCUGAUGUGAAAGCCCCCGGCUCAACCGGGGAGGGUCAUUGGAAACUGGGGAACUUGAGUGCAGAAGAGGAGAGUGGAAUUCCACGUGUAGCGGUGAAAUGCGUAGAGAUGUGGAGGAACACCAGUGGCGAAGGCGACUCUCUGGUCUGUAACUGACGCUGAGGAGCGAAAGCGUGGGGAGCGAACAGGAUUAGAUACCCUGGGUAGUCCACGCCGUAAACGAUGAGUGCUAAGUGUUAGGGGUUUCCGCCCCCUUUAGUGCUGCAGCUAACGCAUUAAGCAACUCCGCCUGGGGGAGUACGGGUCGCAAGACUGGAACUCAAAGGGAAUUGGACCGGGGCCCGGCACAAGCGGUGGAGCAUGUGGUUAUUCCGAGGCAACGCGAGGACCCUACCAGGUCCUGGACAUCUCUGACCAUCCUAAGAAAUAGGACGUUCCCCUCGGGGCAGACGUGACCAGUGGUGCCAUGAUGGUCCGUCAGCUCAGGUCCUGAGAUGUGAGUUAGUCCCACGAGGCCACCUGGAUCUAAUUGCGCGGAAAGGGCGAGACUAUACAUGCAGUCGAGCGGACAGAUGGGAGCUUGCUCCCUGAUGUUAGCGGCGGACGGGCUGAGUAACACGUGGGUAACCUGCCUGUAAGACUGGGAUAACUCCGGGAAACCGGGGCUAAUACCGGAUGGUUGUUUGAACCGCAUGGUUCAAACAUAAAAGGUGGCUUCGGCUACCACUUACAGAUGGACCCGCGGCGCAUUAGCUAGUUGGUGAGGUAACGGCUCACCAAGGCAACGAUGCGUAGCCGACCUGAGAGGGUGAUCGGCCACACUGGGACUGAGACACGGCCCAGACUCCUACGGGAGGCAGCAGUAGGGAAUCUUCCGCAAUGGACGAAAGUCUGACGGAGCAACGCCGCGUGAGUGAUGAAGGUUUUCGGAUCGUAAAGCUCUGUUGUUAGGGAAGAACAAGUACCGUUCGAAUAGGGCGGUACCUUGACGGUACCUAACCAGAAAGCCGCGGCUAACUACGUGCCAGCAGCCGCGGUAAUACGUAGGUGGCAAGCGUUGUCCGGAAUUAUUGGGCGUAAAGGGCUCGCAGGCGGUUUCUUAAGUCUGAUGUGAAAGCCCCCGGCUCAACCGGGGAGGGUCAUUGGAAACUGGGGAACUUGAGUGCAGAAGAGGAGAGUGGAAUUCCACGUGUAGCGGUGAAAUGCGUAGAGAUGUGGAGGAACACCAGUGGCGAAGGCGACUCUCUGGUCUGUAACUGACGCUGAGGAGCGAAAGCGUGGGGAGCGAACAGGAUUAGAUACCCUGGGUAGUCCACGCCGUAAACGAUGAGUGCUAAGUGUUAGGGGUUUCCGCCCCCUUUAGUGCUGCAGCUAACGCAUUAAGCAACUCCGCCUGGGGGAGUACGGGUCGCAAGACUGGAACUCAAAGGGAAUUGGACCGGGGCCCGGCACAAGCGGUGGAGCAUGUGGUUAUUCCGAGGCAACGCGAGGACCCUACCAGGUCCUGGACAUCUCUGACCAUCCUAAGAAAUAGGACGUUCCCCUCGGGGCAGACGUGACCAGUGGUGCCAUGAUGGUCCGUCAGCUCAGGUCCUGAGAUGUGAGUUAGUCCCACGAGGCCACCUGGAUCUAAUUGCG